rnacentral:rRNA from 1 species
UCUCGCGUCAGGAUUAGCCCAGGUGGGAUUAGCUAGUUGGUGGGGUAACGGCUCACCAAGGCGACGAUCCCUAGCUGGUCUGAGAGGAUGAUCAGCCACACUGGAACUGAGACACGGUCCAGACUCCUACGGGAGGCAGCAGUGGGGAAUAUUGCACAAUGGGGGAAACCCUGAUGCAGCCAUGCCGCGUGUAUGAAGAAGGCCUUCGGGUUGUAAAGUACUUUCAGCAGUGAGGAAGGGGUGUACGUUAAUAGCGUAUAUCUUUGACGUUAGCUGCAGAAGAAGCACCGGCUAACUCCGUG